rnacentral:rRNA from 1 species
AGGUUAAAACUCAAAUGAAUUGACGGGGGCCCGCACAAGCGGUGGAGCAUGUGGUUUAAUUCGAUGCAACGCGAAGAACCUUACCUGGUCUUGACAUCCACAGAACUUUCCAGAGAUGGAUUGGUGCCUUCGGGAACUGUGAGACAGGUGCUGCAUGGCUGUCGUCAGCUCGUGUUGUGAAAUGUUGGGUUAAGUCCCGCAACGAGCGCAACCCUUAUCCUUUGUUGCCAGCGGUUCGGCCGGGAACUCAAAGGAGACUGCCAGUGAUAAACUGGAGGAAGGUGGGGAUGACGUCAAGUCAUCAUGGCCCUUACGACCAGGGCUACACACGUGCUACAAUGGCAUAUACAAAGAGAAGCGAC